AUGCUGAACAGCAGAGCAGCAGAUCCCAGUGGGAGCAGGGCCCUGGGGAGCUGGGCUGGGCCAAGGCACUCCCAGUGCAGGGCUUUGUUCCUAACCUCAGGGGCAGCCCAUGCUCUGGGGACGCAGGGAGGCUACGGCCAAGCCCAGAGUUUGGCUCUGUCCUGCCUGGUUCUGUCCUGCAUGGCUGCGGCCCGCACUGCUUCCCUGGGUGCUGUGGGUGCUGAAGCUCUGCCCUGCGCUGCUGGGAGGGGUGGGAUGGGGCUGGAGGCGAUUAGCCUCAGCCUCAGACAAACAGAUGGAGGCAGCGUUAUCCUAUUAGCGGGGCUAAGCGGGGCAUCUGAGCGGUGCAGGGUCCUGUCAGCGGGCUCCCGGGCUCCUCCUGCAGCACGAUGCCUUUCUGGGGCGGCGUCCCCCCCAGCAGCAGCUCCGGGUAGCGGCUGCACUGGGGCAGCACCGAGUCCCUGGGAACAGGUCAGGUACAGACCUCCCAGCCCUGCACCCUGCCCCCUGCAACCUGCCCCCUGCAACCUGCCCCCUGCCCCCUGUACCCUGCAUCGUGCACCCUGCCACCGGGGCCUGGAGCAUCACUGGGGGUGGGGAGGGUGCAGAACACCCAUGAGUGAGGGGAGUGUUGGUGAGGCUGAGCCAGGGGACGGUGAUGGGACCCCUCCUUUGGUGGUGGCGGCGGCGGUCGGUCCUGCGGCAGUGGGGUGGACCAGGUGCUGUGGGGAUUGCGUCACUCGCGGAGGUUUUGGGUUCGUUGCUUCUCACCGCCUUGUGCUGCUCCUGAGCUGGAGCUGGGAGGGUGCAGAAAGGGAUUUGGGGGUCUUGGCCGACCCUUGGCUGAACAUGAGGCAGCAGCGUGCUCAGGUGGCCGAGAAGGCCAGCGGCGUCCUGGCUUGGAGCAGCAGCAGUGCGGGCAGCAGGAGCAGGAGGUGCCCGUCCCUCUGCACGGCGCUGCUGGGGCUGCAGCUCAGACUGAGACAGAAGAGGGCUGUGGUGCAGCAUCACUACAGGGGCUCAGGGGGACCUCGUGGCUCCUACAGCUCCUGA
rnacentral:lncRNA from 1 species